AAACAGCAACUGAUUGUUACGCAUCAUCUCUCCCUGCCAUAUUGCCAGCCUACUAGUUUGAAAGAUGGUAAAGGUGCCCUACAAGUAUCAUCAGAAAUCAAGAAGAGCAAGUGUUAGGCAUUCAUCGGUUCUCUUUGAAGAUUCCAGUAAUUUAGAUCUGAGUUGAACUGAAUUCAGAUGAUGAAGUAGAGCAAGAAAUUUGCUUCUGAGUCUUGUUAUUUUAUUUUAUUUUUUUGUUCUAGAAAAUUGAUGUCAAUGAUUACCAUAAGAGCUCUUACCAAUUUUAAAAGUAUGCAUAGUGAAAAAUAGGAAAGUCACAUUAAACACAUUAACUCUUCAUUAAA